UGGCCAACGGGAGAAGGGUUGUUAAGGAACUCGGCAAGUUGACCCCGUAACUUAGGGAGAAGGGGUGCUCUUUAAGGAGAGCCGCAGAGAAUAGGCCCAAGCGACUGUUUAGCAAAAACACAGCUCUAUGCUAAAUCGAAAGAUGACGUAUAUGGGGUGACACCUGCCCGGUGCCGGAAGGUUAAGAGGAGGAGUGAGAGCUCUGAAUUGAAGCCCCGGUAAACGGCGGCCGUAACAAUAACGGUCCUAAGGUAGCGAAAUUCCUUGUCAGGUAAGUUCUGACCCGCACGAAUGGUGUAACGAUUUGGGCACUGUCUCAACAACCUGCCCGGCGAAAUUGUAGUACCGGUGAAGAUGCCGGUUACCCGCGACUAGACGGAAAGACCCCAUGGAGCUUUACUGCAGCUUAAUAUUGAAUUUCGGUAUUUCACGUACAGGAUAGGUGGGAGACAGGGAACCAUAGGCGUCAGCUUUUGGGGAGUCGACCUUGGGAUACCACUCUUGAGGUGCUGGAAUUCUAACCUGUGGCUCUGAAUCGAGUCAGGGGACAUUGUUAGGCGGGCAGUUUGACUGGGGCGGUCGCCUCCAAAAAGGUAACGGAGGCGCUCAAAGGUUCGCUCAGCAUGGAUGGAAACCAUGCUUUUGAGUGUAAACGCAAAAGCGAGCCUAACUGCGAGACUGACGGGUCGAGCAGUAACGAAAGUUGUAGUUAGUGAUCCGGCGGUAUGUGAGUGGAAAUGCCGUCGCUCAACGGAUAAAAGCUACCCUGGGGAUAACAGGCUGAUCUCCCCCAAGAGUCCACAUCGACGGGGAGGUUUGGCACCUCGAUGUCGGCUCAUCGCAUCCUGGGGCUGAAUUCGGUUCCAAGGGUUUGGCUGUUCGCCAAUUAAAGCGGUACGCGAGCUGGGUUCAGAACGUCGUGAGACAGUUCGGUCCCUAUCUGUCGUGGGCGUAGGAUAUUUGAAAGGAGCUGUCCCUAGUACGAGAGGACCGGGAUGGACGCACCGCUGGUGCACCAGUUGUCAUGCCAAUGGCACAGCUGGGCAGCUAUGUGCGGAACGGAUAAACGCUGAAGGCAUCUAAGCGUGAAGCCGACCUUAAGAUAAGAUAUCCCUUCGUAAGAGUAAGACCUCUCAUAGACUAUGAGUUUGAUAGGCCUAAGGUGUAAGCACAGUGAUGUGUUCAGCCUGCAGGUACUAAUCGGUCGAGGGCUUUUCCAA
rnacentral:rRNA from 1 species